rfam:Aedes aegypti strain Liverpool supercont1.86 genomic scaffold, whole genome shotgun sequence.
UGCCCAGCAACUCCUAUUCCUAUCUCCUCGUGGUAUUGGCCGGGGUACGAGUAAUCUUGAGGAAGAUCGGUUAACCAACCCCGGUGAGAACUUUGGUCGUAUGCUGACAGAGAAGG